AUGGAGGACUAGGUAAGCAUACUUAGAGUCUGUAUAUAUAUUUACCCUUUUUCCUUCUCCCAAUUCUAGUGCCCGAGUGAGGGCUAUUAGUUCUGCCAGCUGAGCACUAGUUCCUGGAGUGAGGGGAUUACUUUCAAGUAUUCUGUUAUCACUGACCACCGCAUAGCCCACUUUUCGAAGUCCUUUUUCUACAAGGGAACUUCCAUCAGUAUACAAGUUGAGGUUGGGAUCAGUCAAGGGAACCUCUAAAAGGUCCCCUCGAGCAGCACAGGUUUGAGGAAUUACUUGUUGACAGUUAUGUUCUAUCUUUUCUUCAUUGUCUGGAAGAAAUGUGGCUGGGUUAACAGUACUGGCCCUUCAAGUAAUAGAGCCUGAUAGUUAAGUAAACAGUUGUCUGACAGCCACAAGUCUUCUUUAGCAGUGAGUAUGUCAUUCACGUCAUGAGAUGUCCAUACAGUAAGAUCUCUUCCCUGUAUUAUUUUAACUGCUUCAGACACUAAUACUGCUACUGCCGCCACUACCCAUAAACAAUGAGGCCAACCCUUUGCCACUACAUCAAUUUCCUUAUUCAGGUAUGCCAUGGGUUGCAAGCUCAUCCCUCGGACCUGUGUAAGGACUCCUAGAGCGAUUCCUGUUUUUUCUGUGGCAUAUAAAGAAAAAUCUUGCCCUGUUGGCAAGCUGAACACUGGGGCUUGGGUUAGGGCCUUCUUUAGGGCCUGGAAAGCCACUUCUGUUUAGGUGUCCAUCUUACUAAAUAGGUAUUGGCUUUCUGAGUUUCCUUAAUUAGUGUAUAUAAUGGUCUGGCUAUUUUGCUGUACCUGGGAAUCUGUUUUCGGCAGAAACCUGUUAUGCCAAGGAACCCUCUUAGUUGCUUUAGGGUUUUGGGAUGAGGAUAAGCCAGUAUAGGCUGGAUACGUUCCUCACUGAGGGCCCUGGUGCCUUUGGAUAAUUUUAGCCCUCAGUAUCUAAUCUGCUGUGAGCAGAGCCGAGCCUUUGGUUUGGAAACCUUGUAGCCACAGGUAGUGAGGAAAUUUAAGAGUUCUUGGGUGGCUUGAUGGCACAAGGUUUCUGAACGGGCGACUAAAAGUAAAUCAUCCAUGUACUGAAGGACAAGAGUGUCCAGGUAUGAGAAUUGGCUCAAGUCUUGGGCUAAUGCCUGGCCAAAUAGAUGGGGGCUAUCCCUGAACCCUUGGGGUAAAACAGUCCAGGUGAGUUGACAGGUUGUGUUUGAAGGAUCUUCAAAGGCAAACAAGAAUUGAGAGUCAGGAUGUACAGGGAUGCAGAAAAAGGCAUUCUUAAGGUCCAGGACUGUAAACCACUCUGCUUCCUCUGGUAUUUGGGAAAGCAGAGUAUAAGGGUUAGGUACAGCUGGGUAUAGAGGGACAAUGGCCUCAUUGAUAAUCCUGAGCUCUUGUGCAAACCUCCACUGUCUGUUGGGUUUCUCUACUCCUAAAAUUGGAGUAUUGCAGGGGCUAUUGCAUGGUUUUACUAGGCCUUGGGCUUUUAGGUCCUUAACAAUCUUUUGGAGUCCUUGUUGGGCCUCAGGUCUAAGGGAGUACUGCCUUUGGUAGGGAAAGGAGGCGGAAUCCUUUAGUUUAACUAGAACAGGAUGGGCAUUCUUUGCUCGUCCAUAUUGUCCUUCUGUUGCCCAGACUUCAGGAUUAAUUCCUUCCUCAAGCAGGGACAACAAAUGGGUGUUCCUUCUCCUAUGUUCAGGUGUAUAAUGGCCCCUGCUUUUGCUAGAAUGUCUUUCCCUAACAAGGGAGUGGAGCUUUCAGGCAUAAUUGGAAAAGCAUGAGAAAAGAGUAAAGUUCCCCAGGCACAACUUAGUGGCUGGGAGAAGUAUCUAAUGACUGGCUGUCCUAGGACCCCUCGGAGAGUGACAGAUCUGGAGGACAGUUGUCCGGGACAGGAGAGUAAGACUGAGAAGGCCGCGCCAGUGUCCAGGAGACAGUUAACCUCCUGGCCCUCAAUGGUCAAGCAUACCCGAGGCUCUGUGAGGGUAAUGGCAUGGGCUGGUGCUUGCCCCGGUACCCUCAGUCCUGCUGCUGGAUCAUCUGGUUAGUGGCUUCUGACUCAGAGGACCUUCAUCCCCUGGGGCAGUGGGCCUUCUAGUGAUUCCCUUGACAUAAUGGUGGACGAGGAGGCAGCUUAUUUCUACUUGGAUGAUCUUUUUUAACGUGUGCUUGUAGACCGCACUGGAAGCAAGCCCUGUUAGGCAUUCGAUUUUCCCAGCUUUUCCUUUUCCAGAGCCUCCAAAGUCCACUUGCCUGAGGGCCAUGACUAAAGCAGUGGCCUUUUUAAAUCCCGUUUGUCCUGUUCCGCCUGCUCCUCCUGAUCUCUAUUAUAAAAAACCAAGGUUGCCAAGUUCAAUAGGGUUUCUAAGUUUUGCUCUGGGCCUAAGGCGGACUUUUGAAGUUUUUUUCUAAUGUCUGCAGCUGACUGAGUGAUAAACUUAUCCUUUAAGAUUAGUUGGCCUUCAAUAGAGUCAGGUGACAGAGAGGUAUGCUUCCUCAAUGCCUCCCUUAGUCUCUCCAGAAAAGCAGUAGGAUUUUCUUCCUUUCCCUGUGUUAUAGUGGACAUCAUUGAAAAAUUUGUAGGCUUCUUCCUGGUUUUCCUUAGUCCUUCCAGCACACAAGUUAGCAAAUGUCUGCAGCACCAAUCUCCAUGUUCUGAUUCUGCGUCCCAGUGAGGGUCUACACUGGGAACUGCCUGCUGGCCUGUGGGGAAUCAUUCUCUUUCCUCUGUUAUCAUCCUAUCAUUGACCUGACUGAGAUACCAGAGAUCGCCAAACUCUCAGGCUGCAGUUAUGGUGGCACUUCUCUCAUUUGGGGUUAACGUCUGAUUUAGCAGUAACAUUAUAUCUCUCCAUAUCAGAUCGAAGGAUUGUCCUAACCCCUGUAAAACAUCAAUAUAGCCAUCAGGGUUAUCUGAGGAUUUACCUAGGUCUAUUUUAAUUUGCUUUAAGUCCGAGAGAGAAAAAGGUACAUGCACUCUGGCUGGGAUGAAUUCUCCUCCUCUCACUGCUUGGAGGGGGCAUAAUCGGGGAAUAUUGGCACCUUUGAUUCAUUGUUUACCCCUUUGUCUAUCUCCUUUUGGACCGUUUGGGUUCAAGGGGGGUCCUUAUUAGUUGGGGGAGGAGUUGGGGGGAUGGUGGGGUAGGGAGGUAGACUCUGAAGGCUUCUUGUAGGGCAUAAAUCACACUUUUUACAUAAUUGCGAGUUGUCUCUUAAUGAAAAGAAAGUUUGUACAUAUGGCACUUCACUCCAGUUGCCUUCUUUUUUACAAAAGAGUUCUAGCUGUAAGAUGGUGUUAUAAUUUAUACUUCCCUCCAGAGGCCAGGUUUCUCCCCCUUGAAGAGGAUAUCGUGGCCAGGCGGUACUGCAGAAGAAAAUGAGUCAUUUCUUUCUUAGCAUCUGAGGGUCAAAUUGGUCCCAAUUCUCCAGAAUACAUCUUAGGGGCAUUUUUGCCUUGGGCGGAACAUUUCCUAUCUGAAAAAAGAACUGAGGGAUGCCAGCACCCCUAGUCAUUUUCCGAUGUGCAUUAAUCUUAGAGUGUCCGCUGUGGUCCUAAUGCUUAUUCCUUUCCAGGGUGCGUAACCACCCAUGGACCUCGGCUUAUCGGAUUAGUUAUGCUCACCGAAGUAGCAGUCUUGCACCCUUUUCCUGCCUUUCUUGACCACAAAGAAAGGGGUCCAGGCUGCUGGAUUCUAGUGGUCCUUUACCAGCGUACCCAACAUUGCCUUUGUGCUCAGGGGUGAGUCCUAGAGCUGGGCUGGGUUCCUGAGUAUUUCAUAACAACCCAGCUUCCCCAUCAAGAUGCAUUCCCAUAAACAACAGUUCUUAUGCAAAUUCAUUUCAGAGAGGGUGUAGGUAACCUUUUGAGUCAGGAUUGAGAUAGUCUUUUUUGAUUCUGUGAGUACUUUAAGGCUUGGCUGAGUGCAAACGGCUCGCACGUUUGAGGAGACCAAUUAUUAAGCAAUUUUUCUAACUCUGCUUCCACAAGAGUCUCCCUACCAAUUACUGAAUGCCCAUUGUGGUUUUUUCCUCAGUCACCAGGGAAGAACCAUCUACUGUCCUGUCCUGAAGGGAGUUCCUCCUAGAUCUGGUCGGACCUUUGUAUGGUCUUUAGACAAUCACUUAACUCUUUCAAUCAAUUGCCAAUUAGAAAAUUCUUGAAUCCACCUAUGACCUGGAGGCCCCUGCUUCAAGUUGUCCCAGCUUUCCAGACCAAACCAAUGUAGGUUGAUCGAUUGAUGUCUAUGUCUCCAUAAAAGGUAUGCAACCAAGCUGUAUCCUGACCACCUUGUGCACAUGUUCUCAGCAUCUCCUGGGUCACAGAAUAUUGAUGAGUCAUAUUCGGCUCACAAUAAAUCUCUUCAAAUGUUGUACAGAGUUUGACCCUUUUUGUUGACAGAUCAUUCUGUAAUAAAAGCAGCUUUCAAGUUA